rnacentral:lncRNA from 1 species
UUCGUCCCCCGGGGCUUCUCGCUGCUGGGGAGUCCUGACUGUACUAAAAAAAGAAAGAGAGAAGGAGAUUGUGCCGGAGAGAAAAAACAGUGCUGGAGAAACCGUUUCCAAAGAUCUAUUUAACAUGUAAACGGAGGAAGAUUAAUAUCUCUGGAACAGUCCCCAAACGUCUUGCCAAGGGCACAGGUUUUCAGCUUUAAAGGCCAUUUCAAUUUAAGAAAACAAAAGAUGAUCCUGUGAACACUGUAUCAGGCAUCAUUACUGGACUGAAAAAAGGAUCACUUGAUGGACAUGCCUGGCGUUUUGUUUAGAAGUAUUUCUUCUCUGGCCUUAGAAGAUUAGUUUU